rnacentral:rRNA from 1 species
UACAGAGGGUGCAAGCGUUAAUCGGAAUUACUGGGCGUAAAGCGUGCGUAGAUGGUUACGUAAGUCGGAUGUGAAAGCCCCGGGCUCAACCUGGGAAUUGCAUUCGAGACUGCAUAGCUAGGAUGCGGAAGAGGGAAGCGGAAUUUCCGGUGUAGCGGUGAAAUGCGUAGAUAUCGGAAGGAACACCAGUGGCGAAAGCGGCUUCCUGGUCCAGCAUCGACGUUCAGGCACGAAAGCGUGGGGAGCAAACAGG